UUCACGGAGAGUUUGAUCCUGGCUCAGGACGAACGCUGGCGGCGUGCUUAACACAUGCAAGUCGAACGAUGAAGCCCUUUCGGGGGUGGAUUAGUGGCGAACG
rnacentral:ncRNA from 1 species